rnacentral:rRNA from 1 species
GACGAACGCUGGCGGCGUGCUUAACACAUGCAAGUCGAACGGUGAAGCGCUUUCCUUUUUGGUUGGUGUGGAUGAGUGGCGAACGGGUGAGUAACACGUGAGUAACCUGCCCCCUUCUUCUGGAUAGCCGCAUGAAAGUGUGGCUAAUACGGGAUAUUCUGCGCCUGCUGCAUGGUGGGUGUGGGAAAGAUUGUGCCUUUGGGUGUUUUCGGUGGGGGAUGGGCUCGCGGCCUAUCAGCUUGUUGGUGGGGUGAUGGCCUACCAAGGCGGUGACGGGUAGCCGGCCUGAGAGGGUGGACGGUCACACUGGGACUGAGACACGGCCCAGACUCCUACGGGAGGCAGCAGUGGGGAAUAUUGCACAAUGGGCGCAAGCCUGAUGCAGCGACGCCGCGUGAGGGAUGGAGGCCUUCGGGUUGUGAACCUCUUUCGCCAGUGAAGCAGGCCUGCUCCUUGUGGGUGGGUUGACGGUAGCUGGAUAAGAAGCGCCGGCUAACUACGUG